AGGGGUGAUUAGUGACAGAGUGAGGGAGGGGGUGACACAGUGACAGAGUGAGGGAGGGGGUGACUAGUGACAGAGUGAAGGAGGUGGUGACUGUCACUAGUCACCCCCUCCCUCUCUCUGUCACUAGUGACACCCUCCCUCACUCUGUCACUAGUGACACCCUCCCUCACUCUGUCACUAGUGACACCCUCCCUCACUCUGUCACUAGUGACACCCU